GCCAGCGGCGUUAGCAUGUUUAAUGCAACAAUUCUCAAAUGAUCACUGAAGUUAAGCAAUUUCACCCGUGGUUGGUACCUAGAUGGGUGACCAUCUGGGCAGGCGCAUUUUGCUGGCU
rnacentral:rRNA from 1 species